rnacentral:lncRNA from 1 species
AAGCUCUUAUCUUUAUAAAAGCACUUGUAACAUGUAAUGUGUUGUUUACUUUCUCUAUACAAGGAAGAAACAUAAAAUGAUCAAGUACUCAGAAGAAUGUAAAUCUUCUUGUCUAAGUGAGAUUUUGCUAGGGUGCCCCAUUUAAGUACUACUGUGCAGUACAAAUAGGGACAUGUUGGAAGAUUGUUAUGAUAAUAAAAGUUACAUGUCUGAAAAUGUUACAAGAGAGAAAUGGUAUAUGUCCUACCAUGUUGGUACUGAUAUAUGUGCCUAUAUUUUAGUACAUGGGGCACCCCUGAAGCUUUUGUGACAAAAGACAACUUCUCUCAUUCCAAAAUUUAUCCUCUCAAUGGAAAGCUCAUUUCUCCAUGCCCUUGAGGUAUACGUUAUACAAAAAGUGCUUAAUCCUCUCACAACAGCAACUGUGGUUAGAGCAAGUCCUGUUAUUUACAAUCCUGAAAUAUAUGAAAUUGAUAAGAAUUAUAAGAGAACAUCUCUCCAUAAAUUUUGCUACUAAAGCAAGACAAACUAAGGACAAGAGGUAGAAAUAUCACCAUAUCUUAAUAUUACAGUUUGUGACGAGAAAUAUCACGUCCAAAAACCCAAUUACGCCCAAACUAUUUCUCUCUAAGGCAGUUAAAGAUUGAGAAAAAAAGAAUAUAAAA